rnacentral:rRNA from 1 species
GGAUGAACGCUGGCGGCGUGCCUAAUACAUGCAAGUCGAGCGAAUAGACGAGGAGCUUGCUCCUCUGACGUUAGCGGCGGACGGGUGAGUAACACGUGGAUAACCUACCUAUAAGACUGGGAUAACUUCGGGAAACCGGAGCUAAUACCGGAUAAUAUAUUGAACCGCAUGGUUCAAUAGUGAAAGACGGUUUUGCUGUCACUUAUAGAUGGAUCCGCGCCGCAUUAGCUAGUUGGUAAGGUAACGGCUUACCAAGGCAACGAUGCGUAGCCGACCUGAGAGGGUGAUCGGCCACACUGGAACUGAGACACGGUCCAGACUCCUACGGGAGGCAGCAGUAGGGAAUCUUCCGCAAUGGGCGAAAGCUUGACGGAGCAACGCCGCGUGAGUGAUGAAGGUCUUCGGAUCGUAAAACUCUGUUAUUAGGGAAGAACAAAUGUGUAAGUAACUAUGCACGUCUUGACGGUACCUAAUCAGAAAGCCACGGCUAACUACGUG